GGUAUGGGAUGAGCUUGCGUCCGAUUAGCUAGUUGGCGGGGCAACGGCCCACCAAGGCGACGAUCGGUAGCCGGCCUGAGAGGGUGAUCGGCCACAUUGGGACUGAGAUACGGCCCAGACUCCUACGGGAGGCAGCAGUAGGGAAUAUUGCACAAUGGGGGAAACCCUGAUGCAGCAACGCCACGUGUGGGAAGAAGCAUUUCGGUGUGUAAACCACUGUCGUGAGGGAAUAAUACGCGGUUUCGGCCGCGGGAGAAUGUACCUUGAAAGGAAGCACCGGCAAACUUCGUGCCAGCAGCCGCGGUAAUACGAGGGGUGCAAGCGUUGUUCGGAAUCACUGGGCGUAAAGGGAGCGUAGGCGGAUGUUCAAGCGGAUUGUACAAUACCGGGGCCCAACCCCAGACCUGCAGUUCGAACUGGACAUCUUGGAUAGUUCAGGGGCAGGC
rnacentral:rRNA from 1 species